rnacentral:rRNA from 1 species
CACGUAGGGGGCGAGCGUUGUCCGGAUUUAUUGGGCGUAAAGAGCUCGUAGGCGGCUUAGUAAGUCGGGUGUGAAAACUCCGGGCUCAACCUGGAGACGCCACCCGAUACUGCUAUGGCUAGAGUCCGGUAGAGGAGUGUGGAAUUCCCAGUGUAGCGGUGAAAUGCAUAGAUAUUGGGAGGAACACCAAUGGCGAAGGCAGCACUCUGGGCCGGUACUGACGCUGAGGAGCGAAAGCGUGGGGAGCAAACAGGAUUAGAUACCCGUGUAGU